rnacentral:ncRNA from 1 species
UUCACGAAACGGCAAACCAAUUGAAAAAUUGGGACGCAAAGCUACAGGGCCUUUAAACUGGCAGCCAGCUGACGAA